GACGAACGCUGGCGGCGUGCCUAAUACAUGCAAGUCGAACGAAACUUUCUUACACCGAAUGCUUGCAUUCACCGUAAGAAGUUGAGUGGCGGACGGGUGAGUAACACGUGGGUAACCUGCCUAAAAGAAGGGGAUAACACUUGGAAACAGGUGCUAAUACCGUAUAUCUCUAAGGAUCGCAUGAUCCUUAGAUGAAAGAUGGUUCUGCUAUCGCUUUUAGAUGGACCCGCGGCGUAUUAACUAGUUGGUGGGGUAACAGCCUACCAAGGUGAUGAUACGUAGCCGAACUGAGAGGUUGAUCGGCCACAUUGGGACUGAGACACGGCCCAAACUCCUACGGGAGGCAGCAGUAGGGAAUCUUCCACAAUGGACGCAAGUCUGAUGGAGCAACGCCGCGUGAGUGAAGAAGGUCUUCGGAUCGUAAAACUCUGUUGUUAGAGAAGAACACGAGUGAGAGUAACUGUUCAUUCGAUGACGGUAUCUAACCAGCAAGUCACGGCUAACUACGUGCCAGCCGCCGCGGUAA
rnacentral:rRNA from 1 species